CUGGCCCGCUAGAAGCAGUUCUUCAGUGGCAAGCUUUAUGUUGUUCCUCUGUGCUAAAGCUGCCAGUUGAAGAACUGUUGAAAGUGGCUACU
ensembl:miRNA xtr-mir-22 xtr-mir-22